AUUGAACGCUGGCGGCAGGCCUAACACAUGCAAGUCGAACGAGUGGCGGACGGGUGAGUAAUGUCUGGGAAACUGCCUGAUGGAGGGGGAUAACUACUGGAAACGGUAGCUAAUACCGCAUACCAUCAGAUGUGCCCAGAUGGGAUUAGCUAGUGGGUGGGGUAACGGCUCACCAAGGCGACGAUCCCUAGCUGGUCUGAGAGGAUGACCAGCACCACUGGAACGUAGACACGGUCCAGAUUCCUACGGGAGGCAGAAGUGGGGAAUAUUGCACAAGGGGCGCAAGCCUGUGGCAGCCAUGCCGCUGUUAUGAAGAAGGCCUGCGGGUUGUAAAGUACUUUAAGCGGGGAGGCGUUACCCGCAGAAGAAGCACCGGCUAACUCCGGGCCAGCAGCCGCGGUAAUU
rnacentral:rRNA from 1 species